UAUUUUAUAAAUUAAUUAAUUAUAACUCUUUUGAAGACAAUAAUAAUAUUGGAUUUGUAAAUAAGUAGACAUAUUACAAAAGAUCGGUUCUCUCCCGUGACCGUAGAAUGCGAUGCCACUCCAAAGAAUGGUGAGCAGUAGGCUGACAAGUCAUAGCAUCUCUGCCUCGCAGCCAAAAAGUUUGAAUCCAAGCAAUCCAAAGGCUUCCCAACUCAAGCUUCAAGCUCUCAAACCUUAAGCAGCCCCCCAAAACUCUUCCAUAGUGCUAAGAAAAUAGACAUCCAAAACCGGCAUAGCUAAGUGUUCUCACCUUCCACCCCGAGAUUCAAUAAUAUGAUCGAUCAGAACACUGCACUUACGAGAUGAGAUUUUCCCGAGAUCAAGGGGACCCCAGAUAGCGAACAAGGAGCUUACCAGCAACAAAACCCAUCUUAGCACAAAUUGCAUCCCUCACAGCCAGCUCCAAAGUCGUCGAAUAGAAGACCUCUGUCUUCUCCGGGUUAAGUUGCAAUCCCGAGAGGGAGUAAAAGAGCUUCAAAACUGCAUAAACAUUAUGCACCCCUUCCCUAGUCCUAUUUGUGAAACUAAAAGAUCAUCAGUGAAGCAUAAGUUUGUAAUGCGGAGCUUCUUGCAUUUCGGAUGAUAGGGAAUCUUACCAGUCAAUGCAACAAGAGAAAGGAGGCAGUGGAGAACCUCCAUGGCCAUGAUAAAUAGUGACGGUGACAGGGGGUCUCCUUGUCGGAGACCUCUCUUACCCUAAAAAAAC
rnacentral:lncRNA from 1 species